UUGGAGGGCAAGUCUGGUGCCAGCAGCCGCGGUAAUUCCAGCUCCAAUAGCGUAUAUUAAAGUUGUUGCAGUUAAAAAGCUCGUAGUUGAAUUUCGGGGUCAGUAGAUUGGUCGUGCCACUGGUAUGUACUGGUCUCACUGACUCCUCCUUCCUGAUGAACCGUAAUGCCAUUAAUUUGGUGUUGCGGGGAGACUGGACUGUUACUUUGAAAAAAUUAGAGUGUUUAAAGCAGGCUAACGCUUGAAUACAUUAGCAUGGAAUAAUGAAAUAGGACGUUCGAUCUUAUUUUGUUGGUUUCUAAGAUUGACGUAAUGAUUAAUAGGGAUAGUUGGGGGCAUUAGUAUUCAAUUGUCAGAGGUGAAAUUCUUGGAUUUAUCGAAGACUAACUACUGCGAAAGCAUUUGCCAAGGAUGUUUUCAUUAAUCAAGAACGAAAGUUAGGGGAUCGAAGACGAUCAGAUACCGUCGUAGUCUUAACCAUAAACUAUGCCGACUAGGGAUCGGAUGAUGUUAAUUUUUUAAUGACUCAUUCGGCGCCUUACGGGAAA
rnacentral:rRNA from 1 species